rnacentral:rRNA from 1 species
AGAAUCAACGCUGGUGGCGUGCCUAAUACAUGCAAGUCGAACGCGAAAGCCCCGCAAGGGCAAGUAGAGUGGCAAACGGGUGAGUAACGCGUGGGCGACCUACCUUCGAGUGGGGAUAACCUUCCGAAAGGAGGGCUAAUACCGCAUGACAUCCCGUGUUUGGAUACACGGACAUCAAAGCCGGGAUCGCAAGACCUGGCGCUUGGAGAGGGGCCCGCGUCCGAUUAGCUAGUUGGUGAGGUAAUGGCUCACCAAGGCUUCGAUCGGUA